rnacentral:lncRNA from 13 species
AUGAAUACCCAUGAUUUUAGAAUGAGAUGUUCGACGAGAACGUGUGUGUGUGUAUUUGUGUGUACAGUGCCUUCGGAAGGUAUUCAGACCCUUGGACUUUUUCCACAUUUUGUUAUGUUACAGCCUUAUUCUAAAAAAAAGUUUUUUUUUAAAAUCCUCAGCAUUCUACACACAAUACCCCAUAAUGACAAAGAAAAAAACAGGUUUUUAGACAUUUCUGGGAGGUACCUCUGCCCCUGCCCUGGGUCGAGGGAGAAGGGACUCAGAUGCUGGAUGAUUUUGACGUGGACUCCAUUAUUCAUCCGGGGUCUCUGUUGGGACUGCACCAAAGAGGCAUGCCAAUAUGUCUGGGAAACUGGAAGGUGAAGACUUGGGGUUGGAGGAGCGGAACAUGAUCCAAGAAAUGGAGGGGAUCAAAAGUUCACUGUGUACAUUUUUUCAUACUGCGAAUUUGAUUACAGUGUGGAAAAAGUUGAAAAAUAAAGAUUAAACAAUCGCACGA